rnacentral:rRNA from 1 species
CGAGCACGCGCGUGUGGCAUAUCAAUAAGCGGAGGAAAAGAAACUAACAAGGAUUCCCUUAGUAACGGCGAGUGAAGCGGGAAGAGCUCAAAUUUGAAAUCUCCAAGGUUCUACCUUGACGAAUUGUAGUUUAUAGAAGUGUUUUCUGUUAGUGGAGUGGCAAAAGUUCUUUGGAAUAGGACAUCAUAGAGGGUGAGAAUCCCGUAUUUGGUCAUUCCUCCUAGCGUUGUGAUACACUUUCAACGAGUCGGAUUGUUUGGGAAUGCAGUCCAAAAUGGGUGGUAAAUUUCAUCUAAAGCUAAAUAUUGGCGAGAGACCGAUAGCGAACAAGUACCGUGAGGGAAAGAUGAAAAGAACUUUGAAAAGAGAGUUAAACAGUACGUGAAAUUGUCAAAAGGGAAGCGUUUGACACCAGUGUUGUUUUUCCGAAAAUCAAUUACGAAUGUUUUAUUUUUGAGGAGUUAUGACUUCAUCGGCUUGCUCCUUUCUUUACUGAAACUUUCUUAAUGCACUUUUCGGUUAACAAGUCAACAUCAAUUUCUUUUGUUGUAAAAGAGUAUGAGGAAGGUGGCUUUCUUUUCGGAGAAAGUGUUUAUAGCCUUGUGCCUCUGCAAUCGGAGAGAUUGAGGUCUGCAGCGUAGAUCCUUCGGGGUUAGAUACAUUUGUGCUAAGUUAUAGCUUUUCAUAGACAACAUUGUUGACUAUGUUAAGUCAUUGUAGCUUACUCGCUAAGUGCUAUUUUACCUACGCUUAGGAUGUUGAACUCUAUCACACACA